AUGCACGCUGGCGGCGUGCCUCAUCCAUGCCAGUCGAGCGAACAGACGAGGAGCUUGCUCCUUCGACGUUAGCGGCGGACGGGUGAGUAACACGUAGGUAACCUACCUAUAAGACUGGGAUAACUUCGGGAAACCGGAGCUAAUACCGGAUAAUAUUUCGAACCGCCUGGUUCGAUAGUGAAAGAUGGCUUUGCUAUCACUUAUAGAUGGACCUGCGCCGUAUUAGCUAGUUGGUAAGGUAACGGCUUACCAAGGCAACGAUACGUAGCCGACCUGAGAGGGUGAUCGGCCACACUGGAACUGAGACACGGUCCAGACUCCUACGGGAGGCAGCAGUAGGGAAUCUUCCGCAAUGGGCGAAAGCCUGACGGAGCAACGCCGCGUGAGUGAUGAAGGUCUUCGGAUCGUAAAACUCUGUUAUUAGGGAAGAACAAACGUGUAAGUAACUGUGCACGUCUUGACGGUACCUAAUCAGAAAGCCACGGCUAACUACGUG
rnacentral:rRNA from 1 species